AACGCGAAAGUCCCGCAAGCGAUGAGUAUAGUGGCAGACGGGUGAGUAAUAAUAGGUAACCUACCCUUGAGUGGGGGACAACAUGCCGAAAGGUGUGCUAAUCCCGCAUAACAUUCGGUGGCAUAAGUCAUCGAAUCAAAGAGGGGGAUCCUUCGGGACCUCUCGCUUGGGGAUGGGCCUGUAUCCUAUUAGCUAGUUGGUGGGGUAAUGGCCUACCAAGGCAAUGAUGGGUAGCCGAGCUGAGAGGCUGAUCGGCCACACUGGAACUGAAACACGGUCCAGACUCCUACGGGAGGCAGCAGUGGGGAAUUUUGCGCAAUGGGCGAAAGCCUGACGCAGCGACGCCGCGUGAGGGAUGAAGGUCUUCGUGAUUGUAAACCUCUGUCAGGAAGGAUUAAAUGUACGUGUGUUAAUACCACAUGUGCUUGACUUAACCUCCAGAGGAAGCCCCGGCUAACUACGUGCCAGCAGCCGCGGUAAUACGUAGGGGGCAAGCGUUACUCGGAUUUAC
rnacentral:rRNA from 1 species